rnacentral:lncRNA from 1 species
CUGGGAGCGAACACUUUCUGUUGACCGCAUCACGCUGCAUUAACGCAAUUAUUCUACUCACCAGACCAGGUUCAGCCAACUCACCUUUGACAGUGAGCUGAGCAGUGGAACGACUCUUGCCAGCUACAAAGAGCACGGGGCCCGACAUGGAGCUUUCUGUGGAGGUGUAGGUGUCCUCAUCUGAAGAGCAGACGUUGUCGAUGGUCAGCUGCCUGUAGACAUCUUGGCUGAUCAGUUGGUAUUUUUUACUGGGCAGGAGCUCCUUCCUGUUCUUGUACCACCGGACCUGAGCAUUAGGCCGUGACACCUGGCACUCCAG